GCCUGGGUGGCUCAGUUGGUUGGGCGUCUGACUCUUGGUUUCAGCUCAGGUCACGUGAGAUCGAGCCCCACAUCAGGCU
rnacentral:tRNA from 1 species